GGUUCAAUGGUCUAGUGGUUAUGAUUUCUGUCUCACACAAUGAACACAGAAGGUCUCCAGUUCGAUCCUGGAUUGAACCA